GAUCAGCCACACUGGAACUGAGACACGGUCCAGACUCCUACGGGAGGCAGCAGUGGGGAAUAUUGCACAAUGGGCGCAAGCCUGAUGCAGCCAUGCCGCGUGUAUGAAGAAGGCCUUCGGGUUGUAAAGUACUUUCAGUAGGGAGGAAGGUGGUUAAGUUAAUACCUUAAUCAUUUGACGUUACCUACAGAAGAAGCACCGGCUAACUCCGUGCCAGCAGCCGCGGUAAUACGGAGGGUGCAAGCGUUAAUCGGAAUUACUGGGCGUAAAGCGCAUGCAGGUGGUUUGUUAAGUCAGAUGUGAAAGCCCUGGGCUCAACCUAGGAAUCGCAUUUGAAACUGACAAGCUAGAGUACUGUAGAGGGGGGUAGAAUUUCAGGUGUAGCGGUGAAAUGCGUAGAGAUCUGAAGGAAUACCGGUGGCGAAGGCGGCCCCCUGGACAGAUACUGACACUCAGAUGCGAAAGCGUGGGGAGCAAACAGG
rnacentral:rRNA from 1 species